rnacentral:lncRNA from 1 species
AACAAACACUAGCAAAUUCUCCUUUGUAGUUUAUAUUCCUAUGGUCAACUAGUAAAGUCCUUGAAGAUGGUUUGGGUCUUGGGCAGGUUAAACAAGCCCCUAGAAUCUCACUCAUGCUAAUCUCUACUUUAGAGCAUCCACCUAAGGCCCUGUGAGCAUCUUCUGUGUGCCAGGCGCUGUGCUCCUGGUAAGGGAGAUGCACGGUUGAAAGAGACAUGGGUCUGCACUCUCAGAAAGUCUCCAGGCAUAUGUGGAGAUGAUCUGUAUGUCCCUUCCUAUGUCCAAAAGCUGGCUGAGCAAAGAGCCUGCUGGGGAGGCCCAGGGCAAGUGCUAUGGCCCAUAGUAAGAGGGGAGCAGAAUGAAGGAGCUUUUGGGGGAGGCAGCCUCUGAGCAGGACCAAGAGGAAUGGGUGGGAUUAGGAUGGGGAGAUGGACAUUCUCAGAACAAGGAACAACCUGUGCAAAGGCCACAUGGAAAGCGCUCAGGAAAAGCUGAAUGUUGCGAGGCUGAGGGUUGAGCACAGAAGGACAGAGGAAGCAGGAAGGAAAGAACAAGCAAGAAAACUGAAGAAGAGGGUUAGGAGCAGAUUAUGGGCCCUUCUGUGAGGGGCUCUGUGGACUGGACGUUACACACACCCAGCCCACCUUGUUCAUCUGCAGUAUCCUCCUGGGCCCCCUUGGCAUCUUAGUUUACGAUUCCUGAACUAAUCCAAUCCACCACCUUACAGAAAUAGAGAAACUGAGGCCCAGGGAGGAACAGGGGCCUGCCCCCAUCACCAGUGACGCAGCAGAGCUAGGACGGCCUGGGCAGGCCCCUGCCUCUCACUGUUCCCCAUUGCCUGGCUGUGUGUGCGUCAGACGCUGAGAAGGAGGUGGCACCAGCAAGGCAAGGACUCCCAGGGUCAAGUCUAGACACCAUUCCUGGGCCCUUGGAGAUGUGCCAGCAAGAAGAGUGGGCAGUGUUGACCCUGGUGGGAAGUUGGCUCUGGAACUGACCUGGUGGCCAGACUCUUGUCUGGGGCUAUCUGCUCCAACAGGCAUGGAAAUUCUUAUCAUUCCAAGGCCCCCUCUUCACAACCUGUCUGGG